AACAAACGCUGGCGGCGUGCCUAAUACAUGCAAGUCGAACGGGGAAAGCUUUCGGGUGAGUACUAGUGGCGCACGGGUGAGUAACGCGUGGAUAAUCUGCCUUCGAGUCGGGGAUAACUAGUCGAAAGAUUAGCUAAUACCGGAUAAGACCACAGGAACUGAGGUUCUAGGGGUUAAAGGUUUUUCGCUUGAAGAUGAGUCCGCGUGAGAUUAGCUAGUUGGUGAGGUAACGGCUCACCAAGGCAACGAUCUCUAACUGGUCUGAGAGGAUGAUCAGUCACACUGGAACUGAGACACGGUCCAGACUCCUACGGGAGGCAGCAGUAGGGAAUAUUGCACAAUGGAGGAAACUCUGAUGCAGCGACGCCGCGUGAGUGAUGAAGGCCUUCGGGUCGUAAAGCUCUGUCGCAGGGGAAUAACACAAUGAAGGUACCCUGCAAGAAAGGAGUACGGCUAACUUCGUGCCAGCAGCCGCGU
rnacentral:rRNA from 1 species